GUCUAAGCAAUACUUUUUCAAAAAUAUAAAAGUAUACUUCGAUAGUUGUUUUAUGGAAAGGACAAAAACUUCAUUAUUUAGAUAAUAUUUUAAAAUUGAUAUAGUAGUUGGACAGGCUCUUCCAGUUUGUUGCUCUGGAGAUUUUCAAAUGGUCAUAUAUUAUUUUUAAGAUUUAUUUAUAAGGCUGUAUUUAUUUCAAAGUCAAGUAAGAUUAAAA
rnacentral:lncRNA from 1 species